UAACGGGGCGGUCCUCUAUGAGGCCCGUCAUUGUAUUGAGUAAAACUCAAAAUAUUUAACGAAACCAAUUGGAGGGCAAGUCUGGUGCCAGCAGCCGCGGUAAUUCCAGCUCCAAAAGCAUAUAUUAAAGUUGUUGCGGUUAAAAAGCUCGUAGUUGGAUCCAUGACCUCGGAGGGCGGUCCCCCACUGGGUGCGUACUGCUGCUCCGAGUCCUAUCUGUCAGUUUGUCUGUGUUGCCUUUAAUCGGGUGGCACAGGUGACUGACGUGUUUACUUUGAAAAAAUUAGAGUGUUUAAAGCAGGCGUUGAAUGCCUGAAUAGUGGUGCAUGGAAUAAUGGAAUAGGAUCUCGGUUCUAUUUUGUUGGUUCAAGAGCAUGAGAAAAUGAUUAAGAGGGACAGACGGGGGCAUUUGUAUUGCUGCGUUAGAGGUGAAAUUCUUGGAUCGUAGCAAGACAAACUACUGCGAAGGCAUUUGCCAAGAAUGUUUUCAUUAAUCAAGAACGAAAGUUAGAGGUUCGAAGGCGAUCAGAUACCGCCCUAGUUCUAACCGUAAACCAUGUCGACUAGCUAUCUGUCAGCGUUAAUAAUGACCUGACAGGCAGCUUACCGGAAACGAAAGUUUCUCGAUUCCGGGGGUAGUAUGGUUGCAAAGCUGAAACUUAAAGGAAUUGACGGAAGGGCACCACCAGGAGUGGAGCCUGCGGCUUAAUUUGACCCAACACGGGAAAACUCACCCGGCCCGGACACCGUAAGGAUUGACAGAUUAAUAGCUCUUUCUCGAUUUGGUGAUUGGUGGUGCAUGGCCGUUCUUAGUUGGUGGAGCGAUUUGUCUGGUUAAUUCCGAUAACGAACGAGAUUCUAACUUACUAACUAGUUCCACGAUCCCUGUGGUCCUAAAUACUUCUUAGAGGGAAAACCGGCAUUUAGUCGAACGAGAUUGAGCAAUAACAGGUCUGUGAUGCCCUUAGAUGUCCGGGGCUGCACGCGUGCUACACUGAAGGAAUCAGCGUGUUUUUCCCUUGCCUGUAAUGGCUGGGUAACCGACUGAAUCUCCUUCGUGUUAGGGAUAGAUCAUUGAAACUAGUGAUCUUCAACUUGGAAUUCCUGGUACGUUUGAGUCAUAAGCUCAAGCAGAUUACGUCCCUGCCCUUUGUACACACCGCCCGUCGCUACUACCGACUGGCAAUAUCUUUGAGACACUUGGAGCGGCCGUGAGCUACCCUAACCGGUAACUCACGGCUGCGAAAAGGUU
rnacentral:rRNA from 1 species